rnacentral:SRP_RNA from 1 species
UAACCGCCCUUGCCUGCUGAACCCCGUUAGGCCCGGAAGGGAGCAGCGGUAGGCAGGACGUCGCGCGCUGGCGGUCAACG